rnacentral:rRNA from 1 species
CUAUGCGCCUUGCCAGCCCGCUCAGUCAGAGUUUGAUCCUGGCUCAGAUUGAACGCUGGCGGCAUGCUUUACACAUGCGAGUCGAACGGCAGCGCGGGCUUCGGCCUGGCGGCGAGUGGCGAACGGGUGAGUAAUACAUCGGAACGUGCCCAGUAGUGGGGGAUAGCUCGGCGAAAGCCGGAUUAAUACCGCAUACGACCUGAGGGUGAAAGCGGGGGAUCUUCGGACCUCGCGCUAUUGGAGCGGCCGAUGGCAGAUUAGCUAGUUGGUGGGUAAGCCUACCAAGGCGACGAUCUGUAGCUGGUCUGAGAGGACGACCAGCCACACUGGGACUGAGACACGGCCCAA